UUCGACUCGCUCUUUAAGGGCACUCCGCUGCUAGAACUUUACCACUCCAAAAAGUUCAAUAAAACUUCGCACAAAAUCCACAACCUGAGCGACAUGAGCCGCGUGGCGCUGGUGUACAAGUUCGGAGGUCUGUACUCGGACAUGGACGUCAUCGCCCUGCGCCCUCUGGUGGGCGCCACCAACUUCAUCGCGCUGGAGUACGACGAGAGCGGCAACUUGAACCACGCCAUCCACCGCAUGCGGCGCCACCACCCCAUGUUGCUGAGGGUCAUGAAACAUGUUGCU